CUUCGUCUUGCAGGUGUUUUGGAUGCGGAUUAUGAUAUGAUCACUGCAUCUUCUCCAGGCUAAGUUUGUUUGCGGAGACUGGAGAAGGAUCCUAAAAUUGACCAGUGAUGGCUUUUACUGAUCGUUGUUACAUUCAUGUUAUUCAAGUAUACGUUCCUUGUUUCCCUCCAAAGUAUGUUGUAAUCAGGUUGGAAGUAGAUCUUCCUAGUGAUGUUGGGAUUCAUGUUUUUAGCUCAAGUCCCUGUCUUUUGUUAUAGAAACUCGAGGUUAGGUGUUGGUAUCUUAGGUCUGCUAAACCUGAAUAUUUUUAAGUUGUUCUUUUUGGUGCUAAAUCUGCUAAUGCCAUUUGUUUUGUUUUGAUGAAGUCUCUUAGGUGGUACGCUUAUGUCUAAGCUCCUAUGAUACACAAGGAUGGACAUGUGGAUGUGGUUUAUUCAGGUUUUUGUUCUCUUUCCCGUUGGUAUUUUUUCUCUGUUUCUGUAUCUCACUCUCAUGCUCCAAGAAGUUGGAUAGACAACUGUUUGCGUUAAAAUAGCUUAAGCAGCAGGUAUGAUUUUUGAUGGGAUAAUUUGUUACUACUCUUUGUCAAUUUACAACUGACGUUUAUGCUGAUAUCUAUAGGAUAAUUCUUGCAUGCUUAUUUCUGGAGAUCUAGUCUAACAGAGCAGACAAAGGCAAAAAAACUGUGUUGUCUUCUCACUCAGAGAAGAAGAUAGCCAACUGUUUUGAAACUUUUGUUGGGUUAGGAUUCACCAGGGAUGAGUUUGUGAUUAUUGAUGGUCAAACGCCAGCCUUCGUGUCUUAACUUAUCUGUAGAAACUGUAAAGAAGAAGAUAGAGUUUCUGGUGAAGGAGAUGAAUUGCCCUGUAGAGGCCUUGGUUUUGAUCCCUCAGGUACUUGGAUACAACAACCUAGAGAAGAGGAUUGUACCAAGGUGUAACUUAAUCAAAGCUCUCAUGUCCAAACGAUUUCUCGGUGGAGACAAAGGAAGCGAACUGCCGCCAAUGCAUUCUGUUUUGAAGAGUACCAAUCAUGAUUUUUUAAAUAGGUAUGUGAUGAAGUACGAUGACAAAGAUAUUGUGGCUGAGUUAAUGGCUAUGUUCACUGAAGCAAAAGAAGAGCUUUCAAUCUACAAAUCUCUGAAACCCAAUUUAUAGUUUUGCAGUCUCAGUUUGGCCUGAAUCUGAUCUGUCUUGGGAAAAAAGGAAUUAGUAAUUUUUGUAUGUCUCGCCUUCACUUUCUUCUUUCUCUCGCCUCUCACUAUGGCACUGGCCCUAAUGCCAAACCCUUUAGAGAUAAAUGAAGAUUUUGAGUCCACUGAACGGAACAGGAGAUGUAAACAUAGCCAUUCUUGGAGAUGUAAACA